rnacentral:rRNA from 1 species
UACGGGGGGGGCAAGCGUUGUUCGGAAUUACUGGGCGUAAAGGGCUCGUAGGUGGCCAACUAAGUCAGACGUGAAAUCCCUCGGCUUAACCGGGGAACUGCGUCUGAUACUGGAUGGCUUGAGUUUGGGAGAGGGAUGCGGAAUUCCAGGUGUAGCGGUGAAAUGCGUAGAUAUCAGGAGGAACACCGGUGGCGAAGGCGGCUACCUGGACAGAAACUGACGCUGAUGCGCGAAAGCUAGGGGAGCAAACAGG